CAUUCAGCUAAACAACACACCAGCAGUUUGUGUUCAUUUACAGCAACAGUGAUCAUUUUAAUUCUUUGAGAUGGGACUAGGCAGAGUUUUGAGUUACUUUACUCUAGCAAUCUUCAUUCAAUAUUCCUGCAGUCAGACACUGAUCGAGUCAGAAUCAGUCAUCAUCAAACCUGAUCAGUCUCAUAAACUGACCUGCACAGCAUCUGGAUUGGACUUUAGUAGCUACUGGAUGGCUUGGAUCAGACAGGCUCCUGGAAAGGGACUAGAAUUUGUUGCAAAUAUAAGAUAUGACAGUGGUAGCAUGUACUACUCCAGUGCAGUUAAAGGCCGCUUUACCAUCUCCAGAGACAACAGUAAGCUGCAGGUGUAUCUGCACAUGAACAGCGUGAGGACAGAAGACACAGCUGUGUAUUACUGCGCCCGACACACACAGUGAUACUUCUCCUUAGACAUCAGUACAAAAACCAUGACAAGCUCACAUUUUCAUAAGCAGUGUAUUCAUGGAGCUCAAAGAACCAAAAUGUUUUGACUUUUACUGCAUGUGGCUUAUUGUGAACAUUGUCUGGACAUUUAUGCUGGUAUAAGAUUACUUAGGUCAGAGUCAGUUCUGAAUAUAUAUAUAUAUAUGGUACAGAGGGUAAUGUUGCCACCUCACAGCUUCAGGGCCCUCGGUUUGAUCCUGGUCAUACAAAAUGCUUCACAUUAUAAUUCUUACUUUUUUUACUUAGUACUUUAGUUCUAUUUGAGUUUUUUUUAACAAGUUGCUUUAAAAUAACUUCUUUUAGAUCUGAGUAUUUUGAAAACUGGACCUUUGUGCCUCUAGAGGGCAGUCUGUGCAAACUCAACCAUCUCAGUCUGUUGCUAUCUGCACUUUUAGGCCCCGUCUCUUUUCACAGGCUGCUAUGACUGCAUCCAGCACCAUGACUCUCAGAUUAAACUCCAGGAAGAUAAUUGCUUGUUGUUGCUUAUAUCAUUACUUUUGCAGAGUCUUGUGAGACAAAAUAUAAUUAAAUAAAUGCAAUGCUAUUCCUUUUUAUCUUCAUACUACAUUCAUUCUUUAUCCAAUCAGAAUGAGUCAGAGAUGAUGUGUGGUCUACAUUAUUUCUGUAACCAUAUUAAUUAAUCAAAAAACAUUAAUGUCUUUCUGUAUAGUUCUGUGCUAUAGAAGCAGAUAUGGUAAUGGGGCAAAAUAGCUCUUAAAGGCUUAAUUGUAAAACACAGCUCGAGUCUUGCUAUAAACAUUUGCCCUUUAAUGGCUAUUUCUGUAAUGUUUUUAUACCUCUAUUUCUAAUGCAGAUUAAGGGCCAUGUUUAAACCACAUAUGCUGAUAUAUUCAGGAAAUGUAUUCAUUUAGAGAAGGUGCUAUUUUUAUUCCUUGAGAUGCAUCUGAGGAGAGUUUUGAGCUGAUGUUGCUGCAUCACUGAGCAUUCAUUUUUGGUUUCACUCUUUAUUAAAUUUAUUCUAAACAUAAAAA